rnacentral:rRNA from 1 species
GUGCCUAACACAUGCAAGUCGAACGAGAAAGGGGCUUCGGCCCUGAGUAAAGUGGCGCACGGGUGAGUAACACGUGGGUAACCUGCCUCUAAGAUUGGGAUAACUCGUCGAAAGAUGAGCUAAUACCAGAUAAGACCACAGCUCCUGCGGGGACAGGGGUCAAAGAUAGCCUAUGCUUGCAAGCUAUCACUUAGAGAUGGGCCUGCGUACCAUUAGCUAGUUGGUAGGGUAACGGCCUACCAAGGCAAAGAUGGUUAGCUGGUCUGAGAGGAUGAUCAGCCACACUGGAACUGAGACACGGUCCAG